UUGAUUAUGUCGUAUGUUUAAUUUGCAUAUUUAAUUAUGUUUGAUUGCACGUGUUUAAUCUUAUUGCAAUUAGGAUCUUGGUAGUUAUGAUUAUUACUUUAAUGAUUGUGCGCUUGCAUGAUCACCUCACGUGUUAGUUGAUAAAUAUAAAAUCAAUCCAAAUUGCCUGCCAAAAAUCAUUUUGUUAAAAUGAACAAGAUUAGGUACCGAAAUGGCACUAAUUGGUUAAUUAGUGUAAUCAAGUCCCCGAACCUAAAUUCUCUGGUUGCGUAGGAAGUGAGGCACGCUCCCAUGUCUCACUUGGUUUCUAGCCGACCCCAAUAGGCUAGUGGCGACUCCUUUUAUGCAAAAUUCCUAAAAUAUAUCACAAUGUCACGCGGGGUAUGGGCUUGGGAGAGCUCGCGCCUAAUCAUGGGCCUUAGGCCCGUCCUUAGGCAAUACCCCUAAACCUGUUCCCUCCCCCCGAGGGUAGGUCGCGACAGCUUGGCGACUCCGCUGGGGACUUGGUUUUAAACCUUAGAGGACUUAGGUCAAAAUUAAUUUUGUUCAAAAAUAUUUUGGUUUGGCAGCGAGGAUUUCAGGUGCGCCCCUACAUGAAAGGUGUUAAAUGUUCUUACAGAAUGGGAGGUAUAAGGGGAAGUGUUUGCUUACCUUUGUCUUGUAGGGAAAUGUAGGAAUGUAUGGUUUAUUUUUAUGUACGGAGUGUUGUUUGCUUAUAAAUUGUUGUGCAUGUAUUCUCUGCAUUGCACUACACCAUGGCACACACAACCUGCCGCGGGACCUGGGCCGCAUAGGAUCACUUAGGAUGGUGUUGAGGUGGAUACCACUCCGACUACAAUCGCGUAGUACGAGUCGCCCACCUUAACCCUGGAAUUUCUUUCUUCACGUUAAAGGUACCCACCCCGGUCUGCAACCGUGUGACAUGGGUCGGUUCUUUGACGAAGCCGGAGACAUGGGUAACCCGACCCAGCCACGACCUUGUUGGUUCAGUCCGGUGAUCCCAUGGCUCCAUUUUGGGCCGUAUAGAGUAGAAAUCGAACCACAUUCCAUGUGCAUGUCUAUGUAAUUUUGAAAAAAAAAAGCAUGAGACAAAGGUCGGCACCCAUUGUAAGUAUCAUUUCCCUUUUUAUUUGCUCAUUUUGUAUCGCUUUUUCAUCUUGAAAUUUGCGAAAAUCAAUCGAAUGCCCUCGGUGAUGCAAGCUUAUGAUUGAAAAAUUGACAAUCACUUUUGACAAGUGAGCAUCUGAAUGCAAGUUCUAAACAUUUUGAUUUGGCCCUGUUGAACACAUGGUUUUGUUUAAAUUUCUAGUUAUGGGCUCAAAAUCAUUUCGAAAAAAGAAAGAAAAAAAAAACUUUCAAGUUGUGAUUAUAUUGGGACACAAAAAUUGAAAUUGCAUUUUUUAUCAAAUUUUCUCAUUCUCACAUUUUGGGACUAUAAUGCAAAUCAUUUUGUGUACAAAUUUCCCAAAAUAGAAAUCACUCCAUUUUUCUAUGAGUAAAACCACAAAUCAAUUUUUCAAAAAUCAAUAACACUUUUGCAUACGAAACUUUUGGAAUAAAAGU
rnacentral:lncRNA from 1 species